rnacentral:rRNA from 1 species
AACGACCGCUGGCGGCGUGCCUAACACAUGCAAGUCGAACGAGAAGUACUGUAGCAAUACAGUAUUGUAAAGUGGCGCACGGGUGAGUAACACGUGGGUAAUCUGCCCUUGAGUUUGGGAUAACCCCGCGAAAGCGGGGCUAAUACCGAAUAAGACCACGGGGACCAAAGUCCCUGAGGUAAAAGGUGGCCUCUAUUUAUAAGCUACCACUUGAGGAUGAGCCCGCGGCCCAUUAGCUAGUUGGCGGGGUAAUGGCCCACCAAGGCUAUGAUGGGUAGCUGGUCUGAGAGGACGAUCAGCCACACUGGAACUGAGACACGGUCCAGACUCCUACGGGAGGCAGCAGUGGGGAAUAUUGCGCAAUGGGCGAAAGCCUGACGCAGCAACGCCGCGUGGGGGAUGAAGGUUCUCGGAUUGUAAACCCCUUUCGAUCGGAACGAAUCCCCUCCUGGUAAAUAAUCAGGAGGAUCGACGGUACCGAGAGAAGAAGCCACGGCUAACUCUGUGCCAGCCGCCGCUGUAACAC